GCAAAACCUACCAGGUAAAAGGAUGUAAACAGAGGAUAAUAAUAAACAAUAAUAACAAACAUGAAGCUAACCCUACCAGGUAAAAGGAUGUAAACAGCUGAUAAUAAUAAACAAUAAUAACAAACAUGAAGCUAACCCUACCAGGUAAAAGGAUGUAAACAGCUGAUAAUAAUAAACAAUAAUAACAAACAUGAAGCUAAACCUACCAGGUAAAAGGAUGUAAACAGCUGAUAAUAACAAACAAUAAUAACAAACAUGAAGCUAAACCUACCAGGUAAAAGGAUGUAAACAGCUGAUAAUAAUAAACAAUAAUAACAAACAUGAAGCUAAACCUACCAGGUAAAAGGAUGUAAACAGAGGAUAAUAAUAAACAAUAAUAACAAACAUGAAGCUAACCCUACCAGGUAAAAGGAUGUAAACAGAGGAUAAUAAUAAACAAUAAUAACAAACAUGAAGCUAAACCUACCAGGUAAAAGGAUGUAAACAGCUGAUAAUAAUAAACAAUAAUAACAAACAUGAAGCUAACCCUACCAGGUAAAAGGAUGUAAACAGCUGAUAAUAAUAAACAAUAAUAACAAACAUGAAGCUAACCCUACCAGGUAAAAGGAUGUAAACAGCUGAUAAUAAUAAACAAUAAUAACAAACAUGAAGCUAAACCUACCAGGUAAAAGGAUGUAAACAGCUGAUAAUAAUAAACAAUAAUAACAAACAUGAAGCUAAACCUACCAGGUAAAAGGAUGUAAACAGAGGAUAAUAAUAAACAAUAAUAACAAACAUGAAGCUAAACCUACCAGGUAAAAGGAUGUAAACAGAGGAUAAUAAUAAACAAUAAUAACAAACAUGAAGCUAAACCUACCAGGUAAAAGGAUGUAAACAGCUGAUAAUAAUAAACAAUAAUAACAAACAUGAAGCUAA